UACAGAGGGUGCUAGCGUUGUUCGGAAUUAUUGGGCGUAAAGCGCUUGUAGGCGGCCUGGAAAGUCGCGUGUGAAAUCCCCUGGCUCAACCAGGGAAGUGCGCGCGAAACUUCUGGGCUUGAGUGCCGGAGAGGGUCGCGGAAUUCCCGGUGUAGAGGUGAAAUUCGUAGAUAUCGGGAGGAACACCAGUGGCGAAGGCGGCGACCUGGACGGACACUGACGCUGAGACGCGAAAGCGUGGGGAGCAAACAGG
rnacentral:rRNA from 1 species